GUCCACGCCGUAAACUAUGAAUGCUAGCUAUUGGCGAUACACAGUCAGUGGCACAGAGAAAUCGUUAAGCAUUCCACCUGGGGAGUACGCCGGCAACGGUGAAACUCAAAGGAAUUGACGGGGGCCCGCACAAGCGGAGGAACAUGUGGUUUAAUUCGAUGAUACGCGAGGAACCUUACCCGGGUUUGAACGCAGGGGGAAUAUGGUGGAAACAUUAUAGCUAGCAAUAGCCGCCUGCGAGGUGCUGCAUGGUUGUCGU
rnacentral:rRNA from 1 species